rnacentral:rRNA from 1 species
GGACAACCUACCUGGGAGCGGGGGAUAACAUGGGGAAACCCGUGCUAAUACCGCAUACGUCUCCGGAAUCUAGGUUCUGGAGGGAAAGCUGGCCUAUACAUGUAAGCUGGCACCCCCAGAGGGGUCCGCGUUCGAUUAGCUAGAUGGCGAGGUAACGGCUCACCAUGGCGACGAUCGAUAGCCGGCCUGAGAGGGCGAUCGGCCACACUGGGACUGAGACACGGCCCAG